rnacentral:rRNA from 1 species
UGGGGAAUUGUUCGCAAUGGGCGCAAGCCUGACGACGCAACGCCGCGUGGAGGAUGAAGGUCUUCGGAUUGUAAACUCCUGUUGCCCGGGACGAACGACCCUGACCUAAUACGUCAGGGUGUGACGGUACCGGGUGAGGAAGCCCCGGCUAACUCUGUGCCAGCAGCCGCGGUAAUACAGAGGGGGCAAGCGUUGUUCGGAAUUACUGGGCGUAAAGGGCGCGUAGGCGGCCUUCUAAGUCGGACGUGAAAUCCCCGGGCUCAACCCGGGAACUGCGUCCGAUACUGGUUGGCUUGAAUCCGGGAGAGGGAUGCGGAAUUCCAGGUGUAGCGGUGAAAUGCGUAGAUAUCUGGAGGAACACCGGUGGCGAAGGCGGCAUCCUGGACCGGUAUUGACGCUGAUGCGCGAAAGCCAGGGGAGCAAACGGGAUUAGAUACCCCCGUAGUCC